rnacentral:rRNA from 1 species
UACGUAGGGGGCAAGCGUUGUCCGGAAUUAUUGGGCGUAAAGGGUGCGUAGGCGGCCUUUCAAGUUGGAUGUGAAAUCCCCGUGCUUAACAUGGGAAUUGCAUUCAAAACUGGAGGGCUUGAGUGUGGAAGAGGUAAGUGGAAUUCCCAGUGUAGCGGUGAAAUGCGUAGAUAUUGGGAGGAACACCAGUGGCGAAGGCGACUUACUGGGCCACAACUGACGCUGAGGCACGAAAGCGUGGGGAGCAAACAGGAUUAGAUACCCUGGUAGUCCCUGA